rnacentral:rRNA from 1 species
CACGCGAGCUGGGUUCAGAACGUCGUGAGACAGUUCGGUCCCUAUCCGUCGCGGGCGUAGGAAAUUUGAGAGGAGCUGUCCUUAGUACGAGAGGACCGGGAUGGACUGACCUCUGGUGUACCAGUUGUUCCGCCAGGAGCACAGCUGGGUAGCUAAGUCGGGAAUGGAUAAACGCUGAAAGCAUCUAAGCGUGAAGCCAACCUCAAGAUGAGAUUUCCCAUAGCGUAAGCUAGUAAGAUCCCUUGAAGAACACAAGGUUGAUAGGUCGGGGGUGUAAGCGUGGUAACAUGUUCAGCUGACCGAUACUAAUAGAUCGAGGGCUUGACCAAAUA